rnacentral:rRNA from 1 species
UGGAUGUCUAGGCUCGCACAUCGAUGAAGAACGCUGCGAACUGCGAUACGUAAUGCGAAUUGCAGAAUUCAGUGAGUCAUCGAAAUUUUGAACGCAUAUUGCACUUUCGGGUUAGACCUGGAAGUAUGUCUGUAUCAGUGUCCGUACAUCAAACUUGCC